rnacentral:rRNA from 1 species
AUUGAACGCUGGCGGCAGGCCUAACACAUGCAAGUCGAGCGAGCGGCGGACGGGUGAGUAAUGUAUGGGGAACUGCCCGAUAGAGGGGGAUAACUACUGGAAACGGUGGCUAAUACCGCAUACUAUCGGAUGCACACAUAUGGGAGUAGCUAGUAGGUGGGGUAACGGCUCACCUAGGCGACGAUCCCUAGCUGGUCUGAGAGGAUGACCAGCCACACUGGAACUGAGACACGGUCCAGACUCCUACGGGAGGCAGCAGUGGGGAAUAUUGCACAAUGGGCGCAAGCCUGAUGCAGCCAUGCCGCGUGUAUGAAGAAGGCCUUCGGGUUGUAAAGUACUUUCAGCGAGGAGGCGUUACUCGCAGAAGAAGCACCGGCUAACUCCGUGCCAGCAGCCGCGGUAAUUC